rnacentral:rRNA from 1 species
UACAGAGGGUGCAAGCGUUGUUCGGAAUUAUUGGGCGUAAAGGGCGCGUAGGCGGUGCGGUAAGUCUGCAGUGAAAUCUCUGGGCUCAACUCAGAGUCUGCUGUAGAAACUGCCGUGCUUGAGUGUGGGAGAGGUGAGUGGAAUUCCCGGUGUAGCGGUGAAAUGCGUAGAUAUCGCUUGGAACGCCAGUGGUGAAAACGGGUCGCUGGGGACAUGCUGACGCUGAGACACGAAAGCCAGGGGAGCAAACGGG